CCUACGGGAUGCAGCAGUAGGGAAUUUUGCGCAAUGGGCGAAAGCCUGACGCAGCAACGCCGCGUGAUCGAGACGCCCUUCGGGGUGUAAAGAUCUGUCAGGGGGGAAGAAACUUGACGUUACCCACAGAGGAAGCACCGGCUAACUCCGUGCCAGACGCCGCUGUAAUACGGGGGGUGCAAGCGUGGUCCGGAAUAAUUGGGCGUAAAGCGUUCGUAGGCGGCACGUAAAGUCUAGUGUUAAAGGCAGAGGCUCAACUUCUGUACGGCACUGGAUACUUGCGAGCUAGAAUGCGGUAGAGGUUAAGGGAAUUCCUGGUGUAGCAGUGAAAUGCUUAGAUAUCAGGAGGAACAUCGGUGGCGUAAGCGCUUUACUGGGCCGUAAUUGACGCUGAGGAGCGAAAGCCAGGGUAGCAAAUGGGAUUAGAUACCCUGGUAGUC
rnacentral:rRNA from 1 species